CGAAACCGUAACAACCAUCAUCGCGACGCCACCACACUACGACAACGCCUUCCGUUCUCCGUCGCUUCAAUCGCCGACGAACUCACCUCUGAUUCGCAUAUAAGCUAUCACCAACAACGAAACUCCAUCAUUGAAACGGCCAUUAAACUUCAAGCCGAGAUUUCGAAGCUUCACCGCACAUGAUCUUGGUGUUUAUUUGGUGUUUUCGUUAAAUAUUGUUCCUUUUCAUCUUGUGUUGUUGAUUUUUCAGGAUUCGACCCUCGAUUCUAUGAUUCAGAUGAAGUAGUUUCGGCAUGUCAUUAUGGUGAUGUUUAGUGUUGCUGCUCCAAAUGAGUUUGAGUUGUCGUCUACGACACUAGUUGUUUUUUGGAUCAAUGAUGACAUAUCCAUCAUUACGGUACAAAUCAAUUUAAAUUUGUGGCAUAACUUUGAAUCUUUCAUUUUCAUGACAGUACUGGACAUAUUUGGGAUAGGUUGUGUUUGGGGUAAUUUUUCGGUUCCAUCUUAGAUAAGUAUUCAUUUUGCUUUGAACAGUGCAAUGCUUAUGUUAAUUANAAAUAGAGAGCAGAUCAGUUGAUGUAGCCAGUAAUCUGUGUUUUUUUGCCUUUCUUGAAAGUGCGCUUUACUUGGUUCUUUUCGGUUGCAAUUACUACUCAUUUUUUCAAUUCAAAUUAUUCAGUGAUUGGUAUUAUGUUUGUAUGUUGGAAUUCUAGUAAUCCUGUAAAUAAUCAUAACUUGUCCUAUUUUUCCUUUGCACUAUAUAAUAUCUAUUUCGGUUUCAAUUUGAUUACUUUGCGUAUCGGCUACAUUAUGUGUUUCGAUCACGAAUGUUUGUAUGUCGAAGUUUUGUUUUGAGUUAUAUGUUGGAUUUUUAAUGACAUGGUAAUGAUCCUGUAAUUAUGAUAAUUACGCGUUCUAUUUUGCACUGUAUUGUGAGCUUUGAUUACAUAUAUGUUUCAAUUGUGUAUCCAUUUCGGUUAUAGUUUUGUAAAUUACUGAUAAUUCUCUUUGGUUGAUUCUGUUAACUCUAUUUUUACAAGAUGAUUAAGUGAUUGUUGUUCCCACUUGUUUAACUGAUAUGCUGAACUAAGUGUAUAGCUUACAGGAUAUUUUUAUGCUUGUAAUGUUAUCCAUAAUUUUGACAAUGUUGAAAUUUUGUGCUUUAAAAAUUUAAGUUCUUUUCAUUAAAAGUCAACACUUUUGUUUUUGCUGCAUAUUUUAAUGGUAG
rnacentral:lncRNA from 1 species